rnacentral:tRNA from 1 species
GGAGAGGUGGCUGAGUGGCUGAAAGCAACACACUGCUAAUGUGUUGAGCCUUCACGGGCUCCGUGGGUUCGAAUCCCACCCUCUCCG